CCCGCCGCUUUUCUCGCGGCCGGCGGACGAGCGCGGCCGGCAAAGCUAGGGGAGUCGCCCCGGCCCUCUCCCGAAGGUGCCUCCCGUGACCCGGGAUUGGGCAAGAAACGAGCCCGUGGAGCCGGGAGGAGCCCCAGCGGGAAGAGGCGGCGUUCGGAUGAUCUUGGAUGCGAGAACUUAUCUGGCCGAGUCCGCCUCAAGGAAGUUCUUGGAAGAUGGUAGCCGUUGUCCACCUGUGUGGCUGGACUAACCCAGCACGUAGCCCCAUCAGCUCCUUCCAGGAAGGAGGAGGAAGAACUGUUUGUUUCUUCUUCUUGGUGAAGAGGACAUUUCAGAAGGCACGAAUUCGCGUUCAGAGCAGAGAGAGGCGGGGGGCGGGUGGGUCGGCCACCGUCUGAGCGUCCAGGAUCUUUCUUCCAACCGGCGAGGGGCUGAGCGUCGCCGCAAAUGGCCGGGGCCGGUGAGCCCGGGAGGGAAUUGACGGAGUUCGAUUUACCGGGUGGGAGGGUUGUUUACGACUUUGGACCAUUCCCCGCCCCACCUGGAUAUAAACUUCAAAUGGUCCUUGAGACUACUGAAGGGAGUCCCUGAAACUACUGAAGAGAAUGUACGGUGUGAAAUAAAGCUCAAUCUUUAUUCAAGA